GUUUCAAUUAGUUCUAGAAGUUCUCUUCCUUCCUAUCUGUUCUACAAUUUACUAUUUUUAGUGUUGUAUUUAUUUCUGUUUACAUUGUACCAUGCAAACAGAUAUGAUAGUUGCUAAAUAUAGUAGUUUUAAAGCGAUUCUGGAGCUUAUUGCAAACAGAUUGUGAUUCAUGGGGCAGCAACUUCUUCCUGAGAUUUGGGACUUCUGGGUCAAGGCUUUUAUGAUGAGGUUUCAAGUGCAGAAGUUAAGUCAAUUAAAAGAAAGCGCCCUGAAACUGUCAAACAUCACUUCACAACUUAUAUGGAAGUGAUGGACUUCUUGCAUAGAUGAAAAAUACUGAAGCUGAUGUAAUAGGACUGAACUGGAGACUGGAUAAUCCACUUUGCGGAUACGACCAAAAUCGAUUAAAUUUGCUCAAUUGUUCUUCAUCGACAUUGAUGCAGGUAUUUUUUUAUUUCAAUGAUACAAAAAUCUAUUCAAAUUUGCUUGUUGAAAACUUUAUAGUAAAACGUAUAUAUAUAUAUAUAUAUACAUACCCAGACCCCAUGUUGUGGGAUUUCACUGGGUUGUUGUUGUUGUAUAUAUAUAUAUAUAUACGCACAUACACAUCGAUUUGCAUAUACAAAUUAACGAUUGGAUAAAUUUGUAUAUUUUUGCUCCCUGUUGGAGAUCAAUAUAGUUAAUUUUGCUCUCGUAGAUAUAAAUAGCAAUUCGUGUAUCCCUUGUCCAUCAUUGGUGUGUCAUUUGCACGACAUUGACACAGUAAUUUGCAGGUGAAACCAUUAAUACAGAAGUCGAUUGUUGUAUUUUUUAAAUUCUGAAAUAGUCUUGAGACAAUGGCAAGCAUAAUGGUCAACAUAAGUUGUGUAUGUUUCCUAUGGAGAAUUAGUUGAUGUAACUUCAAAGAAGCUUGGUGUCGAUUUGAGUUGUGUUAUAAAUGCUAUAUACAUACAAUUAUUAUUUUUAUGAAGUUGCUAAUUAGCUUUUAAUUAGCAAAAUUUACCUGUA